UACGGAGGGAGCUAGCGUUAUUCGGAAGUACUGGGCGUAAAGCGUACGUAGGCGGCUUUGUAAGUAAGAGGUGAAAGCCCGGAGCUCAACUCCGGAACUGCCUUUUAGACUGCAUCGCUUGAAUCCAGGAGAGGUGAGUGGAAUUCCGAGUGUAGAGGUGAAAUUCGUAGAUAUUCGGAAGAAACACCAGUGGCGAAGGCGGCUCACUGGACUGGUAUUGACGCUGAGGCACGGAAAAGCGUGGGGAGCAAACAGGG
rnacentral:rRNA from 1 species